rnacentral:rRNA from 1 species
GAUGAACGCUGGCGGCGUGCCUAAUACAUGCAAGUCGAGCGAAUGGAUUAAGAGCUUGCUCUUAUGAAGUUAGCGGCGGACGGGUGAGUAACACGUGGGUAACCUGCCCAUAAGACUGGGAUAACUCCGGGAAACCGGGGCUAAUACCGGAUAAUAUUUUGAACUGCAUGGUUCAAAAUUGAAAGGCGGCUUCGGCUGUCACUUAUGGAUGGACCCACGUCGCAUUAGCUAGUUGGUGAGGUAACGGCUCACCAAGGCAACGAUGCGUAGCCGACCUGAGAGUGUGGUGGGCCAAACUGGGCCUGAGACACGGCCCAGACUCUUACGGGAGGAAGCAGUAGGGAAUCUGCCGCAAUGGACGAAAGUCUGACGGAGGAACGCCGCGUGAGUGAUGAAGGCUUUCGGGUCGUAAAACUCUGUUGUUAGGGAAGAACAAGUGCUAGUUGAAUAAGCUGGCACCUUGACGGUACCUAACCAGAAAGCCACGGCUAACUACGUGCCAGCCGCCGCAGUAA